rnacentral:lncRNA from 1 species
CAGUUGCAUAUACUUAGAUUUAUAUAUUCAAAAUAUAAAACGUAUUCUCCCUGAGCAAAUAAUGUCUUACAUGCAAUAGGGUGAAAUUAGCCUCUUUGUGCAAUGUCAUGGCCCUGUUUCUUGGUUAAAUAAGAAUCAGGUUUCUGGGGCAGAUAUGGAGAGGAAUUGAAAUGCUGCAUUCCAUGUUAUAUGCAGCGACUUCUUACCAACACCUCUCCCUGCUUCCUUCUCAAAUUCCUCCCCAGUUAGGUGAUCCACGAUUGUCUGAGGUGUACUGCAAAUGAAAUACCACUGGCUAGACAUACUCCAAGCAAUUAUUUCCUUCAAAGAUGGGAGGAAGCCGCUACCACUGCUAAGGAUGAAGCCACUUGCCUAUGGGAAAGAGCUGUCAUCCUGCAGGCAGGGGCCGCACCAGCACCUGGACCCAUUUUCUGCCUCCCACCAGCCACCUCUAAUGUGGAAGCCCACCACACUCAAGACCCCAUCCAAAAGUACUGCUCAAGAGCAGUGUAGGUACUAUAGGCCACUACAGAAGUCCUUCAUUUCUGUUUUCCAUCUACAUUCUUGUAGGUUCUUGCAUUUAGGUAGCCACGCUACUGGCCCAGAGGAGCACAUUUUGUGGUGCAGGGUUUUCCCUUGCCCCUCCUGGGUCUGCUUCACGUGUGCUGCCAUUUUUCCUUCCACCCUUUGCCAAGGUCUGAUGACAAGGCUGUGAUUUCUCUAAGCUUGUCUUUGUUACAGGUGUGACAUGCAGCUCGUAGGGUUUCAUUAGGGCUUUCAUAAUGUAUUAAGGAAAUGUCAGGAUCAAGUAAUUUAUAAUUAACAGUGACAUGUAAAUGUCACUUCUAACAAUUGUAGUGUAAGAGUAUUGUUUUGUGAAUGGACCGUUUUUUACGCAUGCAACUGUCAAUGUCCAAAAAAGCCAUCACCAGUCAGGCAAAUGGUUGGUAAAGACAGAUAUUUCUUUCCCUUUUGUUUACUCCUCACUGAAUUCUUGAUAGGCAACUAGACCUUGUUGCCUGUUGUUCCUAGAUCCAGCGCAUGUAUAAAGCUCAAACCAUGACUGGAAGCUUUUAUGAACAUUUUAGGGCUUGAUCCCGAUAUAAAUACAGAUGGAUAAAUCCCUGCAUGAUACUGAUGUGAAAUUCGUAUGAGCACUGUCUGUAUUAUUGGGACCAAAGACAGGAAAGCAUGCAGCGUAGGAGCUGUACCAAAAAAUGUUUUAAAAAACAGUUCUUUUCCACCAGUUUCAUUAAAAGAUGAAGCUAAUUGCUUUUAGAAGUUAAUGGGAAGUUUGCAAGUCUAGAAUGGAUUAGAUACUUAUGUUUUUAAUAACCAUACAUAGAAUUACAGCAAGUCGUUAUGAUAACUUUAGAACUGAGUUUAGACUUCAUGUUUCAGGGUUUCAGUGAAGUGCAGUGAUUCAACAUCAGGGAAGAACCAGUGUGAAGGGCAGCUCUUGAUGUUAGAGGAGCCAGGAUUCUGACCCAGUCUGUCUUCUGCAGAGGAUUAAGCACUCAGUUUGUCACUGACAAACAAAAGUGAAGGGUUGACAGAUGUUUGGCCUUCACUUGGGUUCGCAUACUGAAUAACUGCAAUACAGCAGUGUUAGUAACAAUUUUCCAAUGGCAUGGACCACUUACCAUUCCAUAUGGCUACCAUAUGCAGUAGGAGAAGAUUGCAUGACCACUGUCCAGAAAUGAAAGCAGAGGAAGGUGAAUGACUUAUCCAAGGCCAGGCAGCGUACCAUUGGAGGGCUGUGUACAGAAGCCAGGUCACUUGGACUGCAGAUCUGCAUCUAAACAUAUGUUCUGUCCUUUUUCUUCCUCAUUAAAUAUGUUUCUUGGAACCCUUGUAUUACCCAGAAGUAAUUAAAGUUUCAGAAACAGUGGGAGGGUUACACGUGGUUCUGCUUUCACACCCACUUUUCAGUAUGAGGAUGGAGCUGGUCUCCACCAUGCAAGAGCAUGUCAUGCAGAUAUGCUCUAGCUGUCAGUGACUGCUGUGGGAUGUGAUGAGGUUAGGUGUGGUGCUGCACUGGCAAUAACCCUGCUGGCACUUCCACAUUGGUACUGGAGAUCUGUGGUUGCAGCAGCUCACGUUGGUGCUGGUUUUGGGGUCCCUACAGUCAGUCCCCUGAAGAGUGUAGGCAGAUCCUUCUUAUUCCUUAGUUUAAAAUGAGAUUUAAGGAAUUGUAAAUAGCAGGUCAAACCCAUUCCCAGAUUAAUGCCACUGAUGUGGGUUUAUUUUAAAGUUUGUUUUUCUUGUGUUUGAAGUGGCCUCUCAUCUCUUCUGACAAGGAAUAGCAGUUGUGGCAUGAGAGUGGUUUGCAGUAGCAGUGUUUGCAGUCUGUCAGAUGCCACAGCUUCCUUUUGGCUUUCUAUUUCCUUUAAUAAAUGAGGUUGUUAGAUUUGGAGGGCAGGAUUUACGAAAAAAAGAGGAAGAGAAGGAAAACCAGGAAGGAAAUGGGAAAGGAAGAAGGCGAGACUCGAUUGCUCUCUGCUACACGUCUUGUGGUUUGAGUUGAUUUUGGAAAUUGCCCUUCCAAGAGCUUUUGAAAUGUGAAAGGAGAACUUAAUUUGUAAGAGCCCUAAGAUAGUUCAGUCACGUGUUUCCCUUCAUUUGUAUGUGAGAAUAAUUAUUGAAUGAGAAGUUAAACAGUGUGGGUCUUAGUGGAAAAACUGAAAUCAGUGUCCACUGCUUACUGUGUUAGCAAUGAUGUAGUUAAGACUGCUGAAUCAUGUCAUGAAUCACGUAGGGUUCUAGGAGAGAAGUCACUGGUCUGCAGUCUGUAACCAUGGUGCUGUAAUAAAUCCUUAUGUUGGUGGCUGCAUUUCAUAAAGUGACUACUUAGGACUUUGUGUCAGAAUUAAAGAACUGUCAUUUCUCCCUUCUUCAAUAAAAGAGGAGGAUAUCCAUACUCUGCCGGUGGAAUUGCUAGUGAAAGAGAUGCUAUGGUGCUCUGUUUUGUUUAUAUUCCAACAUAUAUAUUUCAAAAAUUAUAUUCCAAUAGAGGGGUAAUUUUUAAUUGCAAAGUUCUCCGAGAAUUAUGUCAUUUGGUCAUUUUGAAAUCUGUAAGUUGACUUACAGACAAGCUCUAGGCAAUGGGACUCAAUUCUGUCUGUAACAGCAUUGCUCAAACAGUGCUUUGAGACCCAUAGAGCCAGCGAAUUCUGAUAUAACUGUUCACAUUUUUGUUUGCUUCUUUUAUGGCACAGGCUGCAACCUCAACAGUCAUUUGCUAAUGAUGAGGAUAAAAUGAAUCUCUCCUUUGCCUGGAUAUCUGAGGGAGGUUUAAAAACUCCACUUGGGAAGUUCCACGUUUGCAAAGCAGCUCCCUUACUUGUCGUGAAGCCCUUGGUCUGCCUCACGCCACAUUGCAUUACAGAUUAACGCAGGCUUUGCAUUAUAUAUUAACGCAGAUUUGUCCUCAGAUACCCUACUGUCGAGAAGGCCAUUUUUAAAUCUUUAAUAGGGCAUUAGAGCAAUUUGCCUGUGAUUUAGUUUUAAGUGGGCAAGAGGAGCGGUGACAAACGAAGCUGGGAGGCCCUAAAAUUCUUUGAAUAUCCCAUGUUUUCCUGGAACUGUUGGGAAAAGGCUGCCAGAAAGGUCUUGGCAGGUUUUCUAGGUGGCUGGCCAAGUCUGAAGCAAAUGUGGAUAGUUAAUAGGCUAAAGGAGCUCUGGUUCCAAGUCCAUACAUAUAUAUAACAUACGUUUUUAUUUAAGAAAUCCCACCACACGGAGGAGCAAAUGUAGUGCUAAUAUAUCUUCCUGAAGGAAAAUAGCAAGGGGAAAAAACACUGUCAUCUUGUAACGAUAAAAUAAGAGAUCUUUUGCCCUUACUUUUUAGGGACUUGAAUUGUCAGUCGAAGAGGAGAAGAAGUAGGAAAUGAAAUCAGUAGACAGGCAGUGGCUUUCCCAUGAGGGCCCCAUAUUAAUCAGGAAUCGCUUAUAUAGCAAUAGUUUGCGUCUAAGAAAAAAGGCAGAAGUUGUUCAAAGAAUGGAUUUCCGUUCCUAGAUUGACUUUUUGUUGUUGCCAUGCAAGUAAUUAAAAAUAGUAAUUAAGCAGGAAAGUGAUCAAGUAAUGACUUGGGACCUGCUGCUGCAUUUGCUUCCAUGUGGACAGUUGGUUCUAACAUGAAGCAGGAGGCUGCCUGUGUGGGUCUAAUCAUAAGAAUUAAGUGCUGCUACUGAAUCAUCUCGGGUAUAGGCUCAUUUGGGAGGUGUUUCUCUGUGCACUAGGGUCAGGAUCAUGGUUCUCUGUGGCCACAUGUACCUGGGGAAUAGGUGUUUACUUUGAGUUGUUCCCAGGAAACACGAGUCCAGAUUUCUCGGAGACACCAGGUGAAUUAGCUUUGUAAUUUUCAAGUUGUCUUCGCUCUAAGAGAUUCUUGUUUGUAUUCAGCUCCUGGGGCCUGUAUUGUUUUAUUAUUAAUGGGGUGAGGACCAUGCGCACCCUCCACCGUUACAGUGAAACUAUUAUUAUUUAUUAAGCCAUUGGUGCAGACCCUGAAGUUCUGUUAACAGACUUCCUACGGGAUCUUGGAUAAGUCUUUGUGUUUAUUCACUGUAUAUAAAAUAGAGGUCCUUGUUCCUCUUAAAGACAGAGGAACUAAUCCUAUGUGAAUUGUGCAGAGGCAGUCAUGUUGCAUGUCAUACUGGAAUUACAACUGAGCAUACUGUAUAUGUCUAUGAAGAAAUGUUUCAUAUGGACUGCCUCCAUGCUGACAUACACAUUCAUUAGAUGUACAGAGUUAAAGCUGACAGUAUUUACAAUCUAAUACUCUUUUUACUCAAAAUCAACUUGAAAAUGUUAUUACACUUUAAAAAUCCUAAUUAAUGUCAUUUGUUAUAAGUGAAAUAAUCUGAUAUUCAGAUUGUUCUGUUUGUUUUCUUCAUUUUGUAGCUCAUCAAAAGGUCUUUUUGCAUUAUAAACCGAACUAAAUCUAAGUUUAGUGUGUGCUAGAGCCUGCAGUGCAACGUUAAUGAUGCAGCAGUAUGGACUGGCACCAGGAGUGGGGAGACUGGCUGCUGCGCUUGCGUCCCGCUGCUAUUUCUGGCAUGCAGAGGCUGAGCAGUGUCUGAUGGGUCAAACGGUAGCAGAUGAGGAUAACAAAAGUAAUCUGGACAUAGCAACUUGCUUCCAAGGACCUCCAAACACUCCAAGGACAUGGUAAGCAUUGUCAUGACGGUUCUAUAUUAUGGAGAAGCAAGGUAGGAAGAGGUGAAGUGAUUUUAUCACUGACUUGAUGUGCAAUUGGACAAUAGUAUACAAACCAGUGAGGUUUAAAUUAGGAGCUUUUCGUUGUCAAACUCCUCGUUUGAUAGAACAUUGUCCUGGUAACACUCAAGUCACGACACCUUUGUCCAACUUUGCUUUCCGUGGGUGUGCCCCACACUAUGAAUUUGUGCUUUUCCUCACAUUGUUUGAAUUCUUCAUUUGUAUCAGUAAAUACUUUUUACUCCACUGAAGACAUUUUAUUCAUUUGCAAACUAUUGUCACAUAUUAUCAUAUAUGCUGUCCCUACAGCAGAGACAUUACUGUUACUUUAAAGAUACUUCCUAAAUGAUCUUCUGUAUAGUUUGUUUAGAGUGAAGUUAUUAACUUGUCUCAAAAAGGCCUUAAGGUUUUAUAGGUAAUACUUAAGUCCCUAAAGCAUCCUCUCUGGCUGAGGAUCCCUUCUCCUAUGUGUCGUCUUCUUUGAAUAGCAAAUUCCAAUUGGUGUCAGAAAAACCAGUGUGUCUUUACUCUGCUUUCUGCUAAAACUGUGCACCUACCAAGAUCUCCUCUUCCUUCAAACCUGUCUCCAUGAUUAAAUUUAUUCUUCCUUUCUGUUUUCCAGCUUUACUUUGCAAACUUCCUCUCACUCCAUUUCUGCAAGAACUUUUCCUGCAAAACAGGUCUCUAAAAGGAUUAGUGAAGGGGAUACCAAUUUAUACCCACCUCAGCA